GGUGCCGAAUACUUCAAACCAGUGGUUAGAGUGUCAGACUAAGACCCAGGAGGCCAGGGUUCAAAUCCCGGCUCUGCCA